GAUCAACUGCUGAAUAACCCUGUGUGGUUGCAAGGAGCUGCGUGAUACAAAACCAGUCAUGCGUGACCGCUGCUGACUCCUUAUAAUGCCCCCGUAUUUAUUGUAUUCAGAUUGUAGACACAUUUAUACACUUAUUACACCACAGGUUGAAGAUUUGACGAAGGAUAUCAGACUUGGGCAGCUGGCCUGCUAGAUUUUACUUUAGUUAUGGGAAAAUCUCUUUGAAAAAAGGAAUUUGUGAUCUGAUGAAAAAUUGGACUUUUAAUGAAAUGAAGGCUGAUUUCUGCAUGGAUAGAAUAUACUACCAAGAGAACAGGUGUUAGCAUUUUAUUGACUUUUAUUGUUUGCCUGUCAUCUUCCCCUCAUUUGCUACAUUUGUAAUUAAUGAUUGUUUUCGACUUUGUUAAAUAUAUAUAUAUUUCUAAUGUCUGGUACACUUUCGUGGGGAUAACAGAGUGUUAUCCCUGUAAUGUCAAAUAGGAUUGACCCAGACUGGGAUAAAUGGUCUGAGAACUUAUCCCUCGGGAUCAGUCUCGGGUCAUUGCUUGGACUCUGGGAUUUUUUUUUCGUGUGUCCUUAGAGACGCUGCAUGGAACUUGUUAUAAUGUAAUACAUUUACAUUUUAUCAUAAUUAACAAAAUUGCCAUUAAUGGUUUUAAUAAAAAAAAAUUACAAAG
rnacentral:misc_RNA from 1 species